CCUACGGGAGGCAGCAGUGAGGAAUAUUGGUCAAUGGGCGUGAGCCUGAACCAGCCAAGUCGCGUGAGGGAAGACGGUCCUAUGGAUUGUAAACCUCUUUUGUCGGGGAGCAAAAGACGCCACGCGUGGCGUUCUGAGAGUUCCCUAAGAACAAGCCUCGGCUAACCCCGUGCCAGCAGCCGCGGUAAUACGGAGGAUGCGAGCGUUAUCCGGAUUUAUUGGGUUUAAAGGGUGCGCAGGCGGAAGAUCAAGUCAGCGGUAAAAUUGAGAGGCUCAACCUCGUCGCGCCGUUGAAACUGGGUUUCUUGAGUGAGUGAGAAGUAUGCGGAAUGCGUGGUGUAGCGGUGAAAUGCAUAGAUAUCACGCAGAACUCCGAUUGCGAAGGCAGCAUACCGGCGCUCAACUGACGCUCAUGCACGAAAGUGUGGGUAUCGAACAGGAUUAGAUACCCUUGUAGUC
rnacentral:rRNA from 1 species